rnacentral:rRNA from 1 species
UACAGAGGAGCCAAGCGUUGUCCGGAUUGACUGGGCGUAAAGCGCACGCAGGCGGACGCGCGCGUGGGGUGUGAAAUCUGGCCGCUUAACGGCCAGGCGCCAUCCCAUACGGCGCGACUGGAGUGAUGCAGAGGUCGAUGGAAUUGCCGGUGUAGUGGCGAAAUGCGUAGAGAUCGGCAGGAACACCCAGGGGGAAACCAGUCGACUGGGCAUCUACUGACGCUGAGGUGCGAAAGCGUGGGGAGCAAACAGG